UACGUAGGUGGCAAGCGUUGUCCGGAUUUACUGGGCGUAAAGGGCGUGCAGGCGGUUUGUUAAGUGCAGGGUGAAAGCUCCCGGCUCAACUGGGAGAGGUCCUUGCAUACUGGCAGACUUGAGGGAGGCAGAGGAAAGUGGAAUUCCCGGUGUAGUGGUGAUAUGCGUAGAUAUCGGGAGGAACACCGGUGGCGAAGGCGGCGACCUGGGUCGACACUGACGCUGAGGCGCGAAAGCGUGGGGAGCAAACAGG
rnacentral:rRNA from 1 species